AGAAUGCUUACUGUGGACCUACAUGUUGGAAGUAUGAGGCUUGCUUUUUAAUUUUAUGGGGGUUCACAGCUUACCUUGAGUCCCAGACUUGGACUUCGCAGCAGUACCAGAACUGUUAAGACUGUGGGCACUUGAGAUGUAUUACAUCAAUAGUUCUCAACAGACCGAGUCUCUCACUGAGCCUGGACCUCAUCAUUUCAGCUACACUGGCUGGCCAGCAAGCCCCUUGGAUUCACCACAUUAGGAUUACAGCUUCACUUGUUGCAAAGACUUUUGAAUUUUUUCUGUGCUAGGGUCUCAAACCCAGGGCCUCAUGCCUGCUAGACAAGUGCUGAGAUCCGUUCCCAUCCUAUGUGGUUUUAAUGACAGCGUACCAUAGACCAUGUUUUCCAUGUUUCCAGUCUGAUGAACAACGUCUAUUCUUGAACCUAGAGCAUCAGGCAGUUGGCUGUGUCCGUGCAGCUUCUCAGGUGGCCCCUGUGUUGACAGACACCAUUCUCCAGCCGACUUUCCCACCUAAAGCUUCUGAGAGGAGGGUUCUGACUGGCUUUCCUGGGGUGAGCCUUUCUUAAAUGUUAUGGACACAGAGCCUCCAUUGUUAGACCCAGCAAGGUCAGCCCUCCUCGGAGAGUCUAAAGAAGAUGACCAUCUCUGCCUUCGUUGGUUGGGGUAUCAUAAGAAAGAGGCUCACCAAAUACACAGGGAAAGUAGAAAUUUCCUAAGAAUUGCUUAAAUAGUGGAGGCUUGUAGGCAUGUCUCUGUGGGGCCCCGAAGGGCAGCCAUCCCAGUGUUGACUGCAUCAGCUUUUACCAUUAGUUAUAUCAGUUAUUUCUGCAUCUCUUUUCGGCAUGUGAGUGACAUACACACACUGGGAUGUGAGGGACUUCGGUGGCCAUCGUUGUACCGCCAUCUACCACAGCUCUUUGGAUUUCAUCUGUGCUGUCUCUAGUUUCUAGUUUGAAUACGAUUCAUCCCACAUGAUCUCAUCUAACCUUUCCAACAACGCCGCUAUUAAGGGAAGUAUCUUUCUAUUUUGGAUGAGACAACAAAGACUUACAGGGAGUCAAACAGUUAUCUCCUGCCACUCAGAGCUGUGUCAAGGCCAAGUCUAGUUCUAAACUGUAGAGUGUGGUCUUAUACUCUUCCCAGGUCCUCACUAGAUCUGAAUAAACCUUUACAAUGAGUAUAUCAUGUAAAUUAAAGCAAAUCCAACAAUGCUAUGCAUUAGAAUUUUAAUUGUUUUUUAUUUUUUGUUUUUAUUUUUACUUUUCACUCAUCUAUUUAUUUUACAUCCUGGCUGCAGCCUCUCCACCAUUCUCCCC